ACAUAUCUCUCUCUAAUAAUAAAGCAUGGAUUGACUUUGUCGGGUUCACCGUCACAAUACGCUUUCUUCCGUAAAUUUACAUUUUCACUUUGAGUUUAAAACAUAUAGGCGAGGUGGUACUAAUUCAGAUAACCAUGACUAUGCAUGCGGUGCCGGGUCACAGGCGUCAUGCAUCCAAUCUCCAAAAACACGCAAACAUGGAAUCUGACAAACGAUGUGUUGCCGCAGCAGACUCGGCCUCCUUCCUAUUCUUUCGUCGAUCUCCCUCGACUUGGGCUUCGUACAUCGAGAUCGAGAGAGGCUCUUACCUGGGAGGCUGGGAGAGAGCAGUCAGGCGGCGGCGGCUCGAAGCACAGUCAGGCAAUGGUGGGCAAGUAGAUAAAAGACCUAGCGAGUCGAUCCCCAUCUCCCUCGACUCGAUCCCUCGAUCACGCAGGUCGCGUACGGUGCUCCUCUCUCCCUCGAUCCUUUCUUUCCCCGUCGCGCCGCACCCACCCACAGCCCACCAUCGAUCCUGCAGCCCUUCGGCGCUCCUCUCGCUGACCACCACCGUCGCCUCCCCCAAGGCCACCGGCGCCGCGUCUGUGCCACCUCCUCCCUCACCGGCCUCAAGCCCCUUCUCCAGCGCCUUCCCUCUCCUCUGCAGCGGGAUGGUGAGGGGAGGACAUGAGAGGGUGGACGCGGCGGAACGGGACGACCAUCUGAUGUCUUCGGUGUGGUAGCCCAACCCACCACUCCUCAUGCGAACACGACGAAGGACAGAGGACCAUCUAACUACGUUCCGCAGGUGAUGGAAUUGGAGAAGCAACUUUGUUCAGAAGGUCGAUGGACUGAGGACCGAGGAACUACGGAUGCUGUGGCGGAGGCCGUGGAGACUACUCAGCCUUGGUGCAGAAUCUUGGCAGACCACUCAUGGUGCAUUCCUCUCUCUUCCUUCUCGAUUGAACUAUUUGUGUGUCAUCCCCUUCUAUGAUUGAAGUACAACAUGCAGAUACCUAAUGGACACUGUCUCUGAACUUUCACCCCCAUCUAAUGGUGGAAAUAAAGCAGUCAAUACUUCAGUCAAGCCAUUAGUUGUCUAAUGUCAAGCGACAUCCCAUCACUUGGACCCAGGAAUCGCUGCCCUCCAAACCGUACCUCGCGCAACCUUGUCGAGCAAUUGAAAAAUUACAUGAAGUUGUAUAAUUUGGUCUAAACGUUAUCAUAUAUUCAGCAAUAAUUCAAAAACUAAUGUUAAAUAUACUAUAUGAACUGUUUUUAUAUUUUGUAGGGUGUGCUAUGGCACCCAUGGAAACCCCCUAGAUCCUUCACUGGACAUUAUGCAUGCAGACAAUGAUAAGAGGAAAUCAGUAUUAAUAGCAUGAUUUUCUGACUUACUUGGCUUGGUAUGGCACUGCCGUAUACUUGGAGACACUGUGCGGGUGCUACUUUUGGUACAAUGUCAUGGCGGCUGUGAAUCUAUUAGUGAAAGAGGUCAAGACGAGUGCCUCCUUCUCCAUCAUGGUUUGUGGUGAUCUGCAGAAUCCGUCAACUCUUGCCAAGAGGUUCUAGCUUCAAACCUGACUCUUCUAGUAGCUGGAUCGUUGCACGCGUGGAAUUGAUCGUAGUCACAUAUGUGCAGAGGCCAUGGCGGCAGGUGGCCAUGGCGCAGGUCGACAGGCAAAGAAGCCGCCCGAGGAGGCGGCUCCCGCUGCACCAUCGGAGAAGUGAUCCGUCCAUCAGAUGACGAGGUUCCUCAGUUACACCUGCAGCUUAAAAGUUGUUCCUUUCUGUUUUUGCAGAUCUUAAAUUCAAUGUAGUACAGAACACCCACAAAAUCAUCACAAUGAUGAAUUACUCUGAUGUAUCAUCUGUUCAUGAAUUAACUGUCAAAUGGGAAGAAAUGUGAUGUUCAAUUUCCAUUGAUAA